ACAACUUUCAGCAACGGAUCUCUUGGCUCUCGCAUCGAUGAAGAACGCAGCGAAAUGCGAUAAGUAAUGUGAAUUGCAGAAUUCAGUGAAUCAUCGAAUCUUUGAACGCACCUUGCGCUCCUUGGUAUUCCGAGGAGCAUGCCUGUUUGAGUGUAUU
rnacentral:rRNA from 1 species